rnacentral:rRNA from 1 species
GACGAACGCUGGCGGCGUGCUUAACACAUGCAAGUCGAACGGAAAGGCCCUGCUUUUGUUGGGUGCUCGAGUGGCGAACGGGUGAGUAACACGUGUGUAACCUGCCCUUAACUUUGGGAUAACUUCAGGAAACUGGGGCUAAUACCGGGUAGGAUCUCUUGCUGCACGUGGGGGGUUGGUAAGUUUCGGCGGUUGGGGCUGGUCUGGCGGCUUAUCCGCUUGUUGGUGGGGUAGUGGCUUACCAGGGGUUUGACGGGUAGCCGGCAUGAGAGGUUGGACGGCCACAUUGGGACUGAGGUACGGACCAGACUGCUACGUGAGGCAGCAGGGGGGAAUAUUGCACAAUGGGCGGAAGCCUGAUGCAGAAACGCCGCGUGCGGGAUGACGGCCUUCGGGUUGUAAACCGCUGUCGCCUGUGACGAAGCGUGAGUGACGGUAAUGGGUAAAGAAGCACCGGCUAACUACGUG